AAGCGCUGAAAGCAUAUAAGCGCCAAACAGGCCCCAAGACUAGGUAUCGUUGAGAUCCGUCGUAGACUACGACGUUGAUAGGCGGCAAGUGUAAAGCAAGUAAUUGUUGUCCUCCUUGUGAGGAGUCCAAACAGGUUAUUGGGCAAUUGGGC
rnacentral:ncRNA from 1 species